UACGUAGGGCGCAAGCGUUGUCCGGAAUUACUGGGCGUAAAGAGCUCGUAGGCGGUCUGUCGCGUCUGCUGUGAAAACCUGGGGCUUAACCCCGGGCCUGCAGUGGGUACGGGCAGACUAGAGUGCGGUAGGGGAGACUGGAAUUCCUGGUGUAGCGGUGAAAUGCGCAGAGUAUCAGGAGGAACACCGGUGGCGAAGGCGGGUCUCUGGGCCGUAACUGACGCUGAGACGCGAAAGCGUGGGGAGCGAACAGG
rnacentral:rRNA from 1 species